rnacentral:misc_RNA from 1 species
GAUGAAGAACUUAGCGAAAUGCGAUAAGUAAUGUGAAUUGCAGAAUUCAGUGAAUCAUCGAAUCUUUGAACGCACCUUGCGCCCUUUGGCCAUUCCGAAGGGCAUGCCUGUUUGAGUAUCAUGAACACCUCAACUCUCAUGGCUUGCCAUGAUGAGCUUGGACUUUGGGGGUCUUGCUGGCCUGUGGUCGGCUCCUCUCAAAUGAAUCAGCUUGCCAGUGUUUGGUGGCAUCACAAGUGUGAUAACUAUCUGCGCUCGUGGUUUCCAUCAGAUAACCUCCAGUGAUGGAGGUUCGCUGGAGCUCAUAAAUGUCUCUCCUAAGCGAGGACAGCUCUUUUAAUGUUUGAUCUCAAAUCAGGUAGGACUACCCGCUGAACUUAAGCAUAUCAAUAAGCGGAGGA